rnacentral:lncRNA from 1 species
ACCACAUCAUCACCAAUAUCACAUCAUCACCCAUAUACUAUAAAUUAUAUUUUCAUUCUCUAAGUUUCAUAAAUGUUCUUAUAUGGUCCUUGUACUUUCAAAAAUCUCUAAUUAGAUCCUUUAAUUUUUCAAGUGUGAUUUAGUUUAACAUUUCCAGUAUGGUGAUAGAGAAGGUGAUGAUUCUGAUGUGGGAUAAGUUAUUGGAUGCAUUUAUAAAAGUGAAAAAUGGUAGCAUUAUUCCAAACAAAGGGGUUGCAUCCAGAUUCGGAGAUGGUCUUGAAGUAGAUCAAAUUCGGAUAUUCGAAAAUCAUCAUUGUGAACAUAGCGGUAAUAAUAGAAGAGUAUGUGGGAUCAGCAUUCUUAACUUUACUAUUGUCGAGCUCAUUGUUGCUAUCAAGUUUCUCUUCAAAAAAGAAUAAAUCAAUAAUUAUGGACUAUACAACUAA